ACAUGCCUACAACAUAGCGCUAAUGCUCUGAAUCCCAUUAGAACUCUACAGUUCAGGUUAGAGUAGUACUAGGAUGGGUGAUUGCCUAGGAAGUCCUAGUGUUUUGCAUGCC
rnacentral:rRNA from 1 species